CUUUGUUGAGUUUUCCCUGAUUCUCUCCGCAAGGCACUGGGAAGGAGUUGGGAGUGAAUGAAUGCCUGUGUGGUGCUCAGCCACCUGAUGGGCUAAACCACAACAAUAACCUUGAGGUCAUUCUCCCAUAUGAUACCACUACAUUGACAGAUGGCAGAUGACUGUGCAUUGGCAGGAAUGGAAGGAAGUCUGGCGAAAUAGCUCACUAAUUUUAAGAGCAUGACCUCGCAGGACCAACAAAGUGAAAACAGAAGAUAGCAGCCAAAAUGUCUUCCCACGUCAAUACCUUGUAAUCAUUUUUAUUGCAUAAAACCCUCAGGUCUUUCUGGGAAUGUAAUCCAUCUGAACACAUUUCAAAUGAAUAAAUCAGAUUUCCCUGACGGCAA
rnacentral:lncRNA from 1 species